rnacentral:rRNA from 1 species
GGGUUGUGAGGUUAAGCGACUAAGCGUACACGGUGGAUGCCCUGGCAGUCAGAGGCGAUGAAGGACGUGCUAAUCUGCGAUAAGCGUCGGUAAGGUGAUAUGAACCGUUAUAACCGGCGAUUUCCGAAUGGGGAAACCCAGUGUGAUUCGUCACACUAUCAUUAACUGAAUCCAUAGGUUAAUGAGGCGAACCGGGGGAACUGAAACAUCUAAGUACCCCGAGGAAAAGAAAUCAACCGAGAUUCCCCCAGUAGCGGCGAGCGAACGGGGAGCAGCCCAGAGCCUGAAUCAGUGUGUGUGUUAGUGGAAGCGUCUGGAAAGGCGCGCGAUACAGGGUGACAGCCCCGUACACAAAAAUGCACAUGCUGUGAGCUCGAUGAGUAGGGCGGGACACGUGGUAUCCUGUCUGAAUAUGGGGGGACCAUCCUCCAAGGCUAAAUACUCCUGACUGACCGAUAGUGAACCAGUACCGUGAGGGAAAGGCGAAAAGAACCCCGGCGAGGGGAGUGAAAAAGAACCUGAAACCGUGUACGUACAAGCAGUGGGAGCACGCUUAGGCGUGUGACUGCGUACCUUUUGUAUAAUGGGUCAGCGACUUAUAUUCUGUAGCAAGGUUAACCGAAUAGGGGAGCCGAAGGGAAACCGAGUCUUAACUGGGCGUUAAGUUGCAGGGUAUAGACCCGAAACCCGGUGAUCUAGCCAUGGGCAGGUUGAAGGUUGGGUAACACUAACUGGAGGACCGAACCGACUAAUGUUGAAAAAUUAGCGGAUGACUUGUGGCUGGGGGUGAAAGGCCAAUCAAACCGGGAGAUAGCUGGUUCUCCCCGAAAGCUAUUUAGGUAGCGCCUCGUGAAUUCAUCUCCGGGGGUAGAGCACUGUUUCGGCAAGGGGGUCAUCCCGACUUACCAACCCGAUGCAAACUGCGAAUACCGGAGAAUGUUAUCACGGGAGACACACGGCGGGUGCUAACGUCCGUCGUGAAGAGGGAAACAACCCAGACCGCCAGCUAAGGUCCCAAAGUCAUGGUUAAGUGGGAAACGAUGUGGGAAGGCCCAGACAGCCAGGAUGUUGGCUUAGAAGCAGCCAUCAUUUAAAGAAAGCGUAAUAGCUCACUGGUCGAGUCGGCCUGCGCGGAAGAUGUAACGGGGCUAAACCAUGCACCGAAGCUGCGGCAGCGACACUAUGUGUUGUUGGGUAGGGGAGCGUUCUGUAAGCCUGUGAAGGUGUGCUGUGAGGCAUGCUGGAGGUAUCAGAAGUGCGAAUGCUGACAUAAGUAACGAUAAAGCGGGUGAAAAGCCCGCUCGCCGGAAGACCAAGGGUUCCUGUCCAACGUUAAUCGGGGCAGGGUGAGUCGACCCCUAAGGCGAGGCCGAAAGGCGUAGUCGAUGGGAAACAGGUUAAUAUUCCUGUACUUGGUGUUACUGCGAAGGGGGGACGGAGAAGGCUAUGUUGGCCGGGCGACGGUUGUCCCGGUUUAAGCGUGUAGGCUGGUUUUCCAGGCAAAUCCGGAAAAUCAAGGCUGAGGCGUGAUGACGAGGCACUACGGUGCUGAAGCAACAAAUGCCCUGCUUCCAGGAAAAGCCUCUAAGCAUCAGGUAACAUCAAAUCGUACCCCAAACCGACACAGGUGGUCAGGUAGAGAAUACCAAGGCGCUUGAGAGAACUCGGGUGAAGGAACUAGGCAAAAUGGUGCCGUAACUUCGGGAGAAGGCACGCUGAUAUGUAGGUGAAGUCCCUCGCGGAUGGAGCUGAAAUCAGUCGAAGAUACCAGCUGGCUGCAACUGUUUAUUAAAAACACAGCACUGUGCAAACACGAAAGUGGACGUAUACGGUGUGACGCCUGCCCGGUGCCGGAAGGUUAAUUGAUGGGGUUAGCGCAAGCGAAGCUCUUGAUCGAAGCCCCGGUAAACGGCGGCCGUAACUAUAACGGUCCUAAGGUAGCGAAAUUCCUUGUCGGGUAAGUUCCGACCUGCACGAAUGGCGUAAUGAUGGCCAGGCUGUCUCCACCCGAGACUCAGUGAAAUUGAACUCGCUGUGAAGAUGCAGUGUACCCGCGGCAAGACGGAAAGACCCCGUGAACCUUUACUAUAGCUUGACACUGAACAUUGAGCCUUGAUGUGUAGGAUAGGUGGGAGGCUUAGAAGUGUGGACGCCAGUCUGCAUGGAGCCGAACUUGAAAUACCACCCUUUAAUGUUUGAUGUUCUAACGUUGACCCGUAAUCCGGGUUGCGGACAGUGUCUGGUGGGUAGUUUGACUGGGGCGGUCUCCUCCUAAAGAGUAACGGAGGAGCACGAAGGUUGGCUAAUCCUGGUCGGACAUCAGGAGGUUAGUGCAAUGGCAUAAGCCAGCUUGACUGCGAGCGUGACGGCGCGAGCAGGUGCGAAAGCAGGUCAUAGUGAUCCGGUGGUUCUGAAUGGAAGGGCCAUCGCUCAACGGAUAAAAGGUACUCCGGGGAUAACAGGCUGAUACCGCCCAAGAGUUCAUAUCGACGGCGGUGUUUGGCACCUCGAUGUCGGCUCAUCACAUCCUGGGGCUGAAGUAGGUCCCAAGGGUAUGGCUGUUCGCCAUUUAAAGUGGUACGCGAGCUGGGUUUAGAACGUCGUGAGACAGUUCGGUCCCUAUCUGCCGUGGGCGCUGGAGAACUGAGGGGGGCUGCUCCUAGUACGAGAGGACCGGAGUGGACGCAUCACUGGUGUUCGGGUUGUCAUGCCAAUGGCACUGCCCGGUAGCUAAAUGCGGAAGAGAUAAGUGCUGAAAGCAUCUAAGCACGAAACUUGCCCCGAGAUGAGUUCUCCCUGACCCUUUAAGGGUCCUGAAGGAACGUUGAAGACGACGACGUUGAUAGGCCGGGUGUGUAAGCGCAGCGAUGCGUUGAGCUAACCGGUACUAAUGAACCGUGAGGCUUAACCUUACAACGCCGAAGCUGUU